UACGUAGGGUGCGAGCGUUAAUCGGAAUUACUGGGCGUAAAGCGUGCGCAGGCGGUUCGCAAAGUCUGAUGUGAAAGCCCCGGGCUCAACCUGGGAACUGCAUUGGAAACUAACGGGCUCGAGUGUGGCAGAGGGGGGUGGAAUUCCACGUGUAGCAGUGAAAUGCGUAGAGAUGUGGAGGAACACCGAUGGCGAAGGCAGCCCCCUGGGCUAACACUGACGCUCAGGCACGAAAGCGUGGGGAGCAAACAGG
rnacentral:rRNA from 2 species